AACGAACGCUGGCGGCAGGCCUAACACAUGCAAGUCGAGCGCACCGCAAGGGGAGCGGCAGACGGGUGAGUAACGCGGGGGAAUCUACCCAUCUCUACGGAGCAACUCCGGGAAACUGGAGCUAAUACCGUAUACGUCCUUCGGGAGAAAGAUUUAUCGGAGAUGGAUGAGCCGGCGUUGGAUUAGCUAGUUGGUGGGGUAAUGGCCUACCAAGGCGACGAUCCUUAGCUGGUCUGAGAGGAUGAUCAGCCACACUGGGCCGGAGACACGGCCCAGACGCCUACGGGAGGCAGCAGGGGGGAAGCGUGGAACAUGGGGGAAAGCGUGAGCCAGCCAGGCCGCGUGAGGGAUGAAGGCCCUGGGGUUGUAAAGCGCUUGCAACGGGGAGGAGAAUGACGGUAACCGUAGAAGAAGCCCCGGCUAACUGCGUGCCAGCCGCCGCGGUAACAC
rnacentral:rRNA from 1 species